rnacentral:rRNA from 1 species
UACGUAGGGGGCAAGCGUUGUCCGGAAUCAUUGGGCGUAAAGCGCGCGUAGGCGGCCCGGUAAGUCCGCUCUGAAAGUCCAGGGCUUAACCCUGGAAAGCGGGUGGAUACUGCCGGGCUUGAAUCCGGAAGAGGCGAGUGGAAUUCCUGGUGUAGCGGUGGAAUGCGUAGAGAUGCGGAGGAACACCGAUGGCGAAGGCAGCCCCCUGGGCCAACACUGACGCUCAGGCACGAAAGCGUGGGGAGCAAACAGG